GGGAACCCCUAUCGGGUUCAGACUAAGCCAUGCGAGUCGGCUGGGGGCACUUGCCCCUGGCGGCGCACGGCUCAGUAAUACGCGGUCAACCUACCCUGGGGACCGGGAUAACCUCGGGAAACUGAGGCUAAUCCCGGAUGGGUGUAGGGUGCUGAAAUGCCCCUACGCCGAAAGUAGGCGGGAAAUGGACCGCUGAGGCCCCAGGAUGGGACCGCGGCCUAUCAGGUAGUAGGUGGGGUAACGGCCCACCUAGCCUACGACGGGUAAGGGCCCUGAGAGGGGGAGCCCGGAGAUGGGCACUGAGACAAGGGUCUAGGCCCUAAGGGGCGCAGCAGGCGCGAAGAUUCCGCAAUGCCCGAAAGGGCGACGGAGUGAACCCGAGUGCCACCCGCUGAGGGUGGCUGUUCCCCUGUGUAAAAAGCAGGGGGUAGGAAGGGGAGGGCAAGGCUGGUGGCAGCCGCCGCGGUAAAACCAGCUCCCCGAGGGGUUCCCACGCAUACUGGGCCUAAAGCGUCCGUAGCCGGCCCUGUAAGUCCGCAGUUAAAUCCGCCUGUAGACAGGCGGGCUGCUGCGGAUACUGCAGGGCUAGGGAGCGGGAGGAGCCGGGGGUAUUCCCGGGGGAGCGGUAAAAUGCGUAGAUCCCGGGAGGACCACCAGUGGCGAAGGCGCCCGGCUUGAACGCGUCCGACGGUGAGGGACGAAAGCUGGGGGAGCAAACCGGAUUAGAUACCCGGGUAGUCCCAGCCGUAAACGAUGCCGGCUAGGUGCUGGCCAAGGUUUCGACCUUGGCCAGUGUCGAAGCGAAGGCAUUAAGCCGGCCGCCUGAGGAGUACGGCCGCAAGGCUGAAACUUGAAGGAAUUGACGGGGGGGCACCACAAGGGGUGAAUGCCUGCGGCUUAAUUGGACUCAACGCCGGGAAUCUUACCGGGGGCGACAGCAGGAUGAAGGUCAGGCUGAAGACCUUACCAGACGCGCUGAGGGGUGGUGCAUGGCCGUCGCCAGCUCGUGCCGUGAGGUGUCCUGUUAAGUCAGGCAACGAGCGAGACCCCCGCCCCUAGUUGCCAGCGGCCUCCUUCGGGAGGGACCGGGCAAACUAGGGGGACCGCCUCCGAAGAGGAGGAGGAAGGUGGGGGCUACGGCAGGUCAGUAUGCCCCUAAUCCCCCGGGCCGCACGCGGGCU
rnacentral:rRNA from 1 species